AACGAACGCUGGCGGCAGGCUUAACACAUGCAAGUCGAGCGCCCCGCAAGGGGAGCGGCAGACGGGUGAGUAACGCGUGGGAAUCUACCCAUCCCUACGGGAUAACACAGAGAAAUUUGCGCUAAUACCGUAUACGUCCUUCGGGAGAAAGAUUUAUCGGGGAUGGAUGAGCCCGCGUUGGAUUAGCUAGUUGGUGAGGUAAUGGCCCACCAAGGCGACGAUCCAUAGCUGGUCUGAGAGGAUGAUCAGCCACACUGGGACUGAGACACGGCCCAGACUCCUACGGGAGGCAGCAGUGGGGAAUAUUGGACAAUGGGCGCAAGCCUGAUCCAGCCAUGCCGCGUGAGUGAUGACGGCCUUAGGGUUGUAAAGCUCUUUCACCCACGACGAUAAUGACGGUAGUGGGAGAAGAAGCCCCGGCUAACUUCGUGCCAGCCGCCGCCGUAACAC
rnacentral:rRNA from 1 species